rnacentral:rRNA from 1 species
UACGAAGGGGGCUAGCGUUGCUCGGAAUUACUGGGCGUAAAGCGCACGUAGGCGGAUUGUUAAGUCGGGGGUGAAAUCCUGGAGCUCAACUCCAGAACUGCCUUCGAUACUGGCGAUCUCGAGUUCGGGAGAGGUGAGUGGAACUGCGAGUGUAGAGGUGAAAUUCGUAGAUAUUCGCAAGGAAGACCAGUGGCGAAGGCGGGUCUCUGGACAGUUCCUGACGCUGAGGCACGAAGGUCAGGGGAGCAAACGGG